rnacentral:rRNA from 1 species
UACGGGGGGCAAGCGUUGUUCGGAAUUACUGGCGUAAAGGGCUCGUAGGCGGCCAACUAAGUCGGAUGUGAAAUCCCAGGCUCAACCUGGAACUGCAUCCGAUACUGGAUGGCUUGAAUUCGGGAGAGGGAUGCAGAAUUCCAGGUGUAGCGGUGAAUGCGCAGAUAUCAGGAAGAACACCAGUGGCGAAGGCGGUGCUCUGGGCCGGAACUGACGCUGAGGAGCGAAAGCGUGGGGAGCAAACAGG